rnacentral:lncRNA from 1 species
UUCUUUGUUGAGGUUGUUGUUGACGUUGUUAUUGAACUGUCACUGAUUGAUUGUUUGAAAAUACUGGAGUAACUGAUGAAACAUGGUGAUGAUGCUGACGCGGUUGAAGAUUUCUUUUGAAAUGAGGCCUCCUCUUCCUCCCUACUGACACUGCAUUGGUUUCAUCUUUCUUCUUUUUAUGGAGAAACUGCUUCCAUACUUCUUGCUUGAUGACACCUCUUCCUUAGACAAACGUCCCUCGCGGAC